rnacentral:tRNA from 1 species
UCCUCGGUAGUAUAGUGGUCAGUAUCCCCGCCUGUCACGCGGGAGACCGGGGUUCGAUUCCGCCGGGGAG